UGUGCUUCAUCUUUUUAAAACUAGUUUGUCGUUUACCGUCGUUCUCUAACUUUCUCCAGCAAUUUUACAGAUACAAAAACUCACCAUGAAGCUUUUCAGACUGAUUAUGCCGAUGUGGAUCUCAUAAGAUUUACCAAAACAAUACGAUACCAAAAGAGUACUUUUGGACAGCCUGACAAAGCGGAGUAAAAAUACGCAUUUACUUGGCUGCCUUCACCUGGCUCUGCUCCUUCUUCUUCUCGGCUCGGUUACCCAAAACUGCAAAACUCACAUCACCGUUGGUAACGAUCAAGUUGACAGGGUCCUGCUCCUCGCCAGCAAAGUAACGCCUGAUGAUUUCCUUGGUACCUUCAGCAUAUCUGGUUUGAGCAUCAAGAGUUGUACCCGAGUCUGAAAUGGGGAACCAUGCCGUUACCCCCGCCUAGAGGAUUGGCCAUGUGCCUCCAGGGAUGAUCCUUGGGGGCGGGCUGAACGUCUACAAGGCAUUACCCGAUAUCAUCAAUCUCAAUAUUCCACAAAUGAUGAUAUUUCAGUGCUUACCUCCAGCGUAACCUCGGAGAUGGCCAGACUCCAAAGCCUUCUUGACGGCAUUGCGGUCACAAAUGGCGCCUCGAGCAGUGUUGACCAACCAAGAACCAGGCUUCAUCUUGCUGAUGAGUUCUUCGUUGAAGAGACCACGAGUCUUCUCGUGGAGAGGGCAGUUCUAUACCAGAAGGUUUCAAUGAUUAUUUGGAUUGGAAUAUGCGAAAAGACUUACGAUGGUGAUGAUAUCACAUUGCGCGAGCAUGUCUUCAAGCUUCUCCACUCGUCGAGCCUUGAUAGCCUUGGCCGCCUCUGGAAUUUACAGAUGAGCUAGUCCUGGUGAUAACACGGGUUUAAACUCACCAGAGGGGAGGUCAGUGUAAUCGAACCACAGAAGCUCCUUGCAUUCGAAGGGUUGCAAUCGCUGCAGGACUCGGUAUCCGAUCCGACCACAGCCUACGGUACCGACAACCUUACCCUCGAGGUCAAAGGCGUUACGAGCGAUGUUGGCAACGUUCCAGUCAUCGGCUUGGAUUUGCUCAUGAGCUGGAACAAAGUUGCGAACCAAAAGCAAGAUGGACAUUAUCACAUGUCUAUCAAGAUUGGUCAGUCUGUUAAUGAGCGAUACCAAUGAAAAAAUCUUGCAAAGACGUACUCGGCAACCGACACGACGUUGGAGCCGGAAACCUCAGCAACAGUGAUCUUCCUCUUGUUGGCAGCUUCAAGGUCAAUGUGGCUAUAAUUUGAUGCCAUGAGCUUUCCAUUCCACAAGGGGAAAUGCCAUUGGACUUACUCAGAUCCAACACCAGCGGUUACACAAAGUUUGAGCUUAGGAGCCUUCUCCAUGAGUUCAGCGGUUAGGUAGCCAGGGUGGAAAGGGGUGGUGAUGAGAAUCUCCGUCUACAGGGGUGGCAGAUCAGGUCUUGCCAUGUCAGCCAUAAUGUGAUACUCACGUCGGGAAGGUGCUUCUGGAACUCGGAGUCGGGACCUUCCUUGUCAGCAGUGACAAUAAAUCUGAGAUAGAAUGCAUGGUCAGCCAAAGCGGCUCUCGUAACUUGCCAUCUCAGAAGUCACCGAACACUUACUCAUGGCCUUCUUUCUUGAGCCAAUCAGCAAAGCCUAGUCUGUUUUCGACGGUACCGAGGAGUUUGCUUUCCUCUUCGGCAGCUAAACACACCAGUCAGCCGUGAGUUUCUUGCCAGAAAGGAUUGAGAAAGAGUACACACCCUUCCCUCCAGAGUAGAGAAUCGCGAGAACCUGCCAUGGGCCACAUGAUCAGUAUAUACGUCAAAGAAGAGGAUCUUAGCACUACUCACUUUGACCAUUUGGAAAGUGUCGUUCUGUUGUUGAUGUUAUCGAGAGUAAUUUAUUGGGAUCGAAGCGAAAUUUGAAUCUGUGGUGGAUGGGUCAGAAGAGGAUUUCUCACCCUGCUUUUAUACAUUUCUCGAGAAUAUUUUGACAUGGAGUGUGACAGCUGAUGAGACUUCCAAAUAACCGAGAUCUUUUGGCCCCGGCUACUAUCCCAAGCUUUUGACGAGUUUACGAACAAGAAGAUCACAACAACCGACGUAACCACAAAGACUGGACGGAUAACAAACUACCGAUAGCUGGAGGGGGCUACGCCAUGCGGCGGUCCAUUAACGUAGCUGCUGCAUGUAUGCGCGAUUUUUGGCCUCGGAAUAGUCAACUACACAACGAACUGCUACUGCAUUUCUCGUGCGAGAGACUACUUGCCGCAUCAUCAUGCGUGGCCUGAGAUAGUUGCGCCUUUGUGGGGAGAACCGACGGACGUGGGAGGACUUACGUACGGCUAUGACCUAUACUCGGCCAUCAGUUGGUGCCUAAGUGCCUGUUUCGCGUCAGUAAUCAUGCUCCACCCACCAUUUUUACAUGCGUCUCUUAGCCGCCGGCCGCGUUCCCCAUGAUCAUAUUUGAGAUUCGUUCAUGAGGACUCCCAAUAAUGAUUAAUAGAUUGAGAUUUAUCUCAAAUGUUUUCCUACUACUAUUCCACCGAGGGAGCGAGCGAGUAACAUCGCGCGAGUAAUAUUCAACUGCAAGCGACGUGGUACAAGUGAGCAUGGGUGCCCUAGAAUCAUGGAAAAAGACUCAGAUUCAAGCAUGCGAUGAGCGUCGUCAGAAAUGAGAACAUGUAAUGAAGUAUACAUGGUGGCACGGCGUGGCCGCAUUUCGUUCAACAAACCCACAAUAACGAAGACCGCGACAUCCUCCCUUCCACGCAUAAAUGCCUCGACUGAGAGCCUGCUAGAGCAGAACAAGAACAUGGGCUAUUGCUGCGGAGGAGAUUACCAUACGUAUACUCUUCGUUAUAUGAUUGAGCCCCGGAGACAAUUACUGCUGGAGAUGGCCAGUCACGAUCUCCACGUUCAGAUGGUGUUCUGUUGAUUCUUAAAUGUGUUUCUCCAGUCAACUAAGCUCAAAAGUGCUCCCCCAUGCAUCCAAAUAUAAGGUUUUCAGGUUGAAGAGGAGCAGAACAGCCAAAAAGCAAAGGAGAUGUCAUAACAUAUGAUUUCUUCACCCCGUCUACAAGCUGGUGGGUAUUUAUUAUGUUAAGGAGCUCAUACCGACAUAGGUUUACCGCGUUAACUCAUACCACCUUUCUCUCAACGAUGAAGCCCUGGAAGCCAUGAUCCGUAAUUUCCGCAAAUGGAUGCCAGACCAUAAUCCGCUUUGGACAUGCGUUGGCGUGACUUGGCUUGCAUUUGACGACAUGAGAGUUGAGAUAGAGGUUCAAGCUUAAGCUCCGAAAGAUAAGCAAUAGAGAUAAUGGCUGUUGGAAAAAU
rnacentral:sRNA from 1 species